rnacentral:rRNA from 1 species
GAACAGCUGGCGGCGCGCUUAACACAUGCAAGUCGAGCGAGAACCAGACCUUCGGGUCUGGGGACAGCGGCGAACGGGUGAGUAACACGUGGGUAAUCAACCCUCGGUACUGGGAUAGCCCGGGGAAACCCGGAUUAAUACCGGAUGGCCCUUUGGAUCUUCGGUUCUGAAGGAAAAGGUAGCUUCGGCCUCCGACCGAGGACGAGCCCGCGGCGGAUUAGCUUGUUGGUGGGGUAACGGCCUACCAAGGCGGCGAUCCGUAGCUGGUCUGAGAGGACGAUCAGCCACACUGGGACUGAGACACGGCCCAGACUCCUACGGGAGGCAGCAGUGGGGAAUCUUGCGCUAAUGCGGGAAACCGUGACGCAGCGACGCCGCGUGAGGGAAGAAGGCCUUCGGGUUGUAAACCUCUUUCAGGAGGGACGAAGCUACUCGGGUUAAUAGCCCAGAGGGUGACGGUACCUCCAGAAGAAGCCCCGGCUAACUACGUGCCAGCAGCCGCGGUAAUACGUAGGGGGCAAGCGUUGUCCGGAUUUAUUGGGCGUAAAGAGCGUGUAGGCGGCUUUGCAAGUCCGUUGUGAAAACUCGAGGCUCAACCUCGAGACGCCGGUGGAAACUGCAAAGCUAGAGUCCGGAAGAGGAGAGUGGAAUUCCUGGUGUAGCGGUGAAAUGCGCAGAUAUCAGGAGGAACACCCGUGGCGAAAGCGGCUCUCUGGGACGGUACUGACGCUGAGACGCGAAAGCGUGGGGAGCAAACAGGAUUA